rnacentral:sRNA from 1 species
AAUAUUUCCUUGUUUGAAGAUACAAAGUCAAAGACUCAUACGGACUUCGGCUACACCAUCAAAACUUUGUGAGGCAAUAAGAAGCUUCGUUAGUUUUUUGGAGUCAAAUAUGACUAGAUGUCAUGUGUAUGAUUAAGUAUAAGAACUAGAACCAUAACUGAUUCCCAAAAGCUAAAGUAAUGUUUCCUUGUUAGAAGAUACAAAGCUAAAAACUCAUACGGACUUCGGCUAAGCCAUCAAAAUUUUGAGAAGCAAUAAGAAGCUUGGUUAGUGUUUUGGAGUCAAAUAUGACUAGAUGUCAUGUGUAUGAUUGAGUAUAAGAACUAGAACCGCAACCGUUUCCCAAAAGCUAAAGUAGUGUUUCCUUGUUAGAAGCUACAAAGCCAAAGACUCAUACGGACUUCGGCUACACCAUCAAAGUUUUGAGAAGCAAUAAGAAGCUUGGUUAGUAUUUUGGAGUCAAAUAAGACAAGAUGUUAUGUGUUUGAUUGAGUAUAAGAACUAGAACCGCAACAUCUUCCCAAAAGCUAAAGUUGUGUUUCCCUUCUAGAAGAUACAAAGCCAAAAACUCAUACGGACUUUGGCUACACCAUCAAAGCUUUAAGAAGCAACAAGAAGUUUGGUUAGUGUUUUGGAGUAAAAAACGACUAUA